rnacentral:rRNA from 1 species
GUGCCAGCAGCCGCGGUAAUACGGAGGGUGCGAGCGUUAAUCGGAAUUACUGGGCGUAAAGCGCAUGCAGGUGGUUUGUUAAGUCAGAUGUGAAAGCCCGGGGCUCAACCUCGGAAUUGCAUUUGGAACUGGCAGGCUAGAGUACUGUAGAGGGGGGUAGAAUUUCAGGUGUAGCGGUGAAAUGCGUAGAGAUCUGAAGGAAUACCGGUGGCGAAGGCGGCCCCCUGGACAGAUACUGACACUCAGAUGCGAAAGCGUGGGGAGCAAACAGG